rnacentral:tRNA from 1 species
GGGCCGGUAGUCCAGCCUGGUAGGACGCUGCGUUCACACCGCAGAGGCCGUGAGUUCAAGUCUCACCCGGCCCACCA